rnacentral:rRNA from 1 species
GACGAACGCUGGCGGCGUGCUUAACACAUGCAAGUCGAACGGAAAGGCCCUGCUUUUGUGGGGUGCUCGAGUGGCGAACGGGUGAGUAACACGUGAGUAACCUGCCCUUGACUUUGGGAUAACUUCAGGAAACUGGGGCUAAUACCGGAUAGGAGCUCCUGCUGCAUGGUGGGGGGUGGAAAGUUUCGGCGGUUGGGGAUGGACUCGCGGCUUAUCAGCUUGUUGGUGGGGUAGUGGCUUACCAAGGCUUUGACGGGUAGCCGGCCUGAGAGGGUGACCGGCCACAUUGGGACUGAGAUACGGCCCAGACACCUACGGGAGGCAGAGGUGGGGAAUAUUGCACAAUGGGCGGAAGCCUGAUGCAGCAACGCCGCGUGCGGGAUGACGGCCCUCGGGUUGUAACCCGCUUUCGCCUGUGACGAAGCGUGAGUGACGGUAAUGGGUAAAGAAGCACCGGCUAACUACGUG